rnacentral:rRNA from 1 species
CAGCAGCCGCGGGAAUACGUAGGGUGCAAGCGUUAAUCGGAAUUACUGGGCGUAAAGCGUGCGCAGGCGGUUAUAUAAGUCAGAUGUGGAAUCCCCGGGCUCAACCUGGGAACUGCAUUUGAGACUGUAUGGCUAGAGUGUGUCAGAGGGGGGUAGAAUUCCACGUGUAGCAGUGAAAUGCGUAGAUAUGUGGAGGAAUACCGAUGGCGGAGGCAGCCCCCUGGGAUAACACUGACGCUCAUGCACGAAAGCGUGGAGAGCAAACAGGAUUAGAUACCCGCGUAGUCCCUGUCUCUUAUAC